ACGGGAGGCAGCAGUGAGGAAUAUUGGUCAAUGGAGGAAACUCUGAACCAGCCAAGUCGCGUGAAGGACGACGGCCCUAUGGGUUGUAAACUUCUUUUGUAGAUGGAUAAACGACAUUACGUGUAAUGUUUUGAAGGUAAUCUACGAAUAAGCAUCGGCUAACUCCGUGCCAGCAGCCGCGGUAAUACGGAGGAUGCGAGCGUUAUCCGGAUUUAUUGGGUUUAAAGGGUGCGCAGGCGGCACGUUAAGUCAGCGGUGAAAUGUCGGGGCUCAACCCGGGCACUGCCGUUGAAACUGGCGAGCUUGAGUACGGAUGAAGUCGGCGGAAUGUGAUGUGUAGCGGUGAAAUGCUUAGAUAUGUCACAGAACACCGAUUGCGAAGGCAGCUGACUAAUCCGCAACUGACGCUCAGGCACGAAAGCGUGGGGAUCGAACAGGAUUAGAUACCCUGGUA
rnacentral:rRNA from 1 species